CCACUCACAUACACACAGAGAGCGUCUGCAAAGGAGAAAUACAAACAGACACGUUUACUGAACCGUUUCAACCAAACAAACCACAAAAUUGUUUAAACCCUACUUCCUGUACUUCCCUUUCACUCUUCGUUCCGCUUCAGGAAUCAAACAAUGAAGCUCCGCUCUCAUGCCGCGGGCCCUUCUUCUUCCAAAGGGAAAAAGAAGCUCAAGUACAGAGAGAGCUCUGAUGAGGAUGGUCAUGGGGCGACGUCCUCGGAUUCUGAUUAUUAUUUGCACAGUGUUGAAGGUGAAGAUUUGUCGGAUGGUCUUGAAGAUGAUAGAAGGGAAGAGGCUUGGGACUUAAAUUUUGCGUUAGAGGCUGCAGUUGAAAUUGGCAAUGAUGAUCUUUUGCAUAAUGUCCCCAGGAGAAGGAAAAGGAACUCCUUGAAGAACGAGGGAGGAUGGAGUCACAAGGUUCAGGACAAGCAAGAAGAAUACAUUAAUGGAGAAAUUGAGAACGAAAUGUAUGGUAACUCAGAGGAAUUUAAUUUUACUGAUGUCUCGGAGAAGUAUGAGAGAAAAAAGAAGACUAGGAAGAAGAGACGGGAUAAAAGUGUACUGAUGUGGGAAGUAUUGGAACAAGAAAAUGAGAGAUGGGUUGCAGAGAAUUUGGAAUUAGAUAUGGAUUUGAUAAAUCAGAAUGAAAUGGUGGCAGAAACUGUUGACCCUUCAGAUGACUUGAUAAUACCGCUGCUGAGAUACCAGAAAGAGUGGUUAGCUUGGUCUUUGAAACAAGAGGAAUCUGCUGUCAGGGGAGGCAUCCUUGCAGAUGAGAUGGGGAUGGGCAAGACUCUCCAGGCAAUAGCACUUGUUCUUCUUAAAAGAAGUAUCUCGAGAGGAAUUGGGCAUCAGUUGCCCCCAUCUUCAGCCAGUUUCACAAAUGAGUUACCAGCAAUUAAGGGCACACUUAUUAUAUGCCCCUUGGUAGCAGUGAUGCAGUGGGUAAGUGAGAUCGACCGGUUCACUUCAAAAGGAAGCACCAAGGUGCUGGUUUAUCAUGGUGCCAACAGAGCAAAAAAUCUUUAUCAGUUUUCUGAGUAUGACUUUGUUAUAACGACGUAUUCGAUUGUUGAGGCCGAAUACAGAAAAUACGUAAUGCCCCCUAAAGAAAAAUGCCAGUACUGUGGAAAAUUAUUCUACGAUCGUAAGUUGAAAAUUCACUUGAAGUACAUAUGUGGACCUGGUGCUGUUAAGACCGCUAAGCAGUCAAAGCAGCAGAGAAAAGAACAAAAGCCAAAGAAAAUAUCCGACAUUGAGGUAAGCACGAGUACAGGUCGAAAUGAUGGAAAGAAGCAUGGCAGUGGCAACAAGGAAAUGGAAAAUGACCAUUCCAUUGAGAAUUCAGCUGUGGUUGGGCGACUCUCAUCUGAAGGAAAAUCUAUUUUGCAUUCUGUUACAUGGGAGCGUAUCAUAUUGGAUGAGGCUCAUUAUAUAAAAGAUAGACGCAGCAAUACCACUAGAGCUGUUCUUGCUUUGCAAUCUUCAUAUAAAUGGGCUUUAAGUGGCACUCCCCUUCAGAAUCGAGUGGGGGAGCUCUAUUCACUUGUUCGCUUUCUGCAGAUAGUUCCUUACUCUUAUUAUUUCUGCAAGGACUGUGACUGCCGUAUUCUUGAUUACAGCACCUCAGCUGAAUGUCCAGGCUGUCCUCAUAGAAAUGUUCGGCACUUCUGCUGGUGGAAUAAAUAUAUUUCCUCACCAAUACAAGAUUUUGGAAAUACUGGGUCUGGUAGAGACGCCAUGCUUUUGUUAAAGCACAAAAUUCUGAAAACCAUAGUGUUGAGACGUACCAAAAAGGGCAGGGCAGCUGAUCUUGCACUUCCUCCUAGAAUUGCACUUUUGAGACGGGAUGCUCUGGAUGUUGUUGAAGAAGAUUAUUAUACAGCAUUGUACAACGAGAGUCAGGCACAGUUUAAUACAUAUAUUGAGGCGGGAACAGUGUUGAAUAACUACGCCCACAUAUUUGAUCUUCUGACGCGCCUCCGACAGGCAGUUGAUCAUCCUUACCUUGUCGAAUAUUCUCUUACUUCGAUGGAAAGAAAGGGUAAAACAGUUGAUACUAGCAAUGAUGAAAAAUGUAGUUUAUGUAAUGACCAUGAAGAAGAUACUGUGGUCACGUCAUGCGGCCAUGUUUUCUGCAAACCUUGUUUGAUAGAUUUUGGUGCUACCAUGGGACAGAAUUCCUGCCCUUCUUGUUCAAAGCCACUCACAGUUGAUUUCACUGCCACCAAGGAUGGCAAACGGCAGAAUUCAAAAACAACUAUUAAAGGAUUCAGACCGUCAAGUAUCUUGAAUAGAAUUCAGCUUGAUGACUUCCAGACAAGUACAAAAAUAGAUGCUUUGAGAGAAGAAAUUAGAUUUAUGGUUGAAAGGGAUGGCUCUGCCAAGGGUAUUGUCUUCAGCCAAUUCUCGUCUUUUCUGGAUCUCAUACAUUACGCUCUUCAGAAGUCUGGGGUGAACUGUGUUCAGUUAGAUGGGUCCAUGUCCAUGGGAGCAAGAGAUACUGCUAUUAAAAGAUUUACUGAGGAUCCUAAUUGCAGAAUUUUUCUAAUGAGCUUGAAAGCUGGGGGUGUUGCCCUCAAUCUCACUGUAGCAUCACAUGUUUUCUUGAUGGAUCCUUGGUGGAAUCCUGCUGUGGAGCGGCAGGCUCAGGAUAGAAUACAUCGAAUAGGCCAAUAUAAACCAAUCAGGAUUAUUAGGUUUAUUAUUGAAAAUACAAUAGAGGAGAGGAUUUUGAAGUUGCAGGAGAAGAAGGAACUAGUGUUUGAAGGGACUGUGGGUGGAUCUUCAGAGGCCCUCGCCAAACUGACAGAAGCUGAUCUCAGAUUCCUGUUUGUGACCUAAGCUGGAGCAGCCUCUGGUGGGUUCCUUUGCAGCCCAAAUUGGUCAAGUUUUGUUUUGAACUCACCUGCUCUUAUAUCAAUGCAAAAACUUACUGUUGACAGAUUAAGACAUCGCUAUUUUUGUCUAUAAGCGCAUGAAAUUCCAUUAGGGGGAUAUGAACAUCUACUUUUGUCAUCCAGUCGACACGAAGGAAAAUUGACACAAAAUGAUGAUUUCAAGGAAGUAGAAUUGCAGACAAUCAACCAAUCAGGGAUCGGAUGUGAAUUCAACCGUUGUUAACUCGAUAGGGUCCUGCGGUGGAGAUUGUGGACUAGAAGGACCAUUUCCUCAACACUGCCACCAUCCUCGCUUCGAGAGAAAAAAUUUCCUUCAGUCGCACUUGGUGUAGAAGACAAACUAAAGCAUAGUUGUUAAUGAGCAACAGGGCCUUCUAUGGCAAAUAAGUGAAUAUUCAAGGACACAAUUGGUAAGCAAACAAUUCUCCCCAUCUUCUGGGCAAGACGGAAUUUGGAACUUAACGCAAUUUUAAAAAGACUUGGAAAAAAAAACUAGCUUCGACUUGUAUUUUGCCAGUCAUUAGCAAUGAAUGAGGAAAUAAUAUUUUUUGUCCUUUA